rnacentral:lncRNA from 12 species
GGAAAACACAGUAUUUAAACAUUGAACAGCAGUCACGUGCCCAGAUAUUAUAGAGUUAAUAAGAAAGCAAGCAACACAUGUAAGACAGACUGCAGAGCAGUAAGGGCUUUCCUCCGUGACAGGAUUAGGCUGAGUUUAGAUUACUGGAGAAACAUGAGACAUGGAGAAGAGCAUCCCAGAUGAGCAAACAGGGGCUGAGAGACAGCAGCCUCAGUUCAGAGCCUUUCCAGCAGGUCCAUCAUUCAGUGCGGGCAAGCUCUGUGCCCCGGGAACUCCGCUGAACCAAAAUCCCGCUGUCUGCACUUCAUGCGAGCUCCCAGCCAAGAGACCAGCUGCAAUGUAAACUCUGAGAAACGGGUAUCAGAGAGCAGGGGAACCACGGGCAGCGCUGCCGAGCAGCUGUGAGUGCCACGUCCAUCACAGAUACCCAGGUGUCCCCGUGUCCCCAUCUCGCACGGCAGCCAGCAUUCCCCAAAGGAUGCCGUGCAGUGCCACUGCCGGCUGCUCAUCCGGCAGAGGAAUAGAUCAGAGAUGAGAGCUGAGAACAAGGCUGGGAGUGACGCAGCUGGGAAGGGAAGGGAAGGGAAGGGAAGGGAAGGGAAGGCCGCCGCCCCGCCCUGGCGCUCGCUGGCUGCAGAGGAUGCGCUGGGGACAGCAGGUGGCGGUGGCGCCCGUGGUACAGCGGGGAUGCUGCACAGGGGGGCUCAGAGCAGCACCUGUGACCCUCUGCUGGUGCCAGCCGUGGCUGCUCACGCCGGCUGCUGCUCAGCCACUUCCGAACGGCGCUGAAAGGCUCAGCAGAGCCCUCCCCCGCAGCCUUCCAGGAGGAGAGCUUCCCACAGAACGCUGCUGAGAGACAAGUAAACAACAAAAAGAGCAUCUCAAAGGUUUAUCU